UACGGGGGGUGCGAGCGUUGAUCGGAAUAACUGGGCGUAAAGGGCACGCAGGCGGACUUUUAAGUGAGGUGUGAAAUCCCCGGGCUUAACCUGGGAAUUGCAUUUGAAACUGGGAAUCUAGAGUACUUUAGGGAGGGGUAGAAUUCCACGUGUAGCGGUGAAAUGCGUAGAGAUGUGGAGGAAUACCGAUGGCGAAGGCAGCCCCUUGGGGAUGUACUGACGCUCAUGUGCGAAAGCGUGGGGAGCAAACAGG
rnacentral:rRNA from 1 species